rnacentral:rRNA from 1 species
CCUACGGGGGGCAGCAGUGAGGAAUAUUGGUCAAUGGGCGUAAGCCUGAACCAGCCAAGUCGCGUGAGGGAUGAAGGUUCUAUGGAUCGUAAACCUCUUUUAUAAGGGAAUAAAGUGUGGGACGUGUCCUGUUUUGUAUGUACCUUAUGAAUAAGGAUCGGCUAACUCCGUGCCAGCAGCCGCGGUAAAACGUAGGGGGCGAGCGUUGUCCGGAAUGACUGGGCGUAAAGGGUGCGUAGGCGGCAUAAUAAGUUAGAAGUGAAAUACCCAGAGCUUAACUCGGGUGCUGCUUCUAAGACUGUUGAGCUUGAGUGCGGGAGAGGUUAAUGGAAUUCCUAGUGUAGCGGUGGAAUGCGUAGAUAUUAGGAGGAACACCAGAGGCGAAGGCGAUUAACUGGACCGUAACUGACGCUGAGGCACGAAAGUGUGGGUAGCAAACAGGAUUAGAUACCCUUGUAGUC